rnacentral:rRNA from 1 species
ACGCUGGCGGCGUGCUCACUACAUGUCCAGUCGAACGCUUUUCUUUCACCGAGACUUGUCUCACCGAAAGAAAAGAGUGGCGAACGGGUGAGUAACACGUGGGUAACCUACCCUCGAGCGGGGGAUAACAUUUGGAAACAGGUGCUAAUACCGCAUAAUAACAGAAGAAGCAUUUCUUUUGUUUGAAAGUCGCAAUUGCGACACUCGAGGAUGGACCCGCGGUGCAUUAGCUAGUUGGUGGGGUAACGGCUCACCAAGGCCACGAUGCAUAGCCGACCUGAGAGGGUGAUCGGCCACACUGGGACUGAGACACGGCCCAGACUCCUACGGGAGGCAGCAGUAGGGAAUCUUCGGCAAUGGACGAAAGUCUGACCGAGCAACGCCGCGUGAGUGAAGAAGGUUUUCGGAUCGUAAAACUCUGUUGUUAGAGAAGAACAAGGGUGAGAGUGGAAAGUUCACCCCUUGACGGUAUCUAACCAGAAAGCCACGGCUAACUACGUGCCAGCAGACACGCGGUAAUACGUAGGUGGCAAGCGUUGUCCGGAUUUAUUGGGCGUAAAAGCGAGCGCACGCGGU